rnacentral:rRNA from 1 species
GGGUGAGUAACACGUAUGGAACCUGCCCGCAGCAGGGGGAUAAGCGGAAGAAAUUCCGUCUAAUACCGCGUAACAACGUUGGGAGGCAUCUCCCGAUGUUUAAAGAUUUAUCGGCUGCGGAUGGCCAUGCGGCGCAUUAGCUAGUCGGCGGGGUAACGGCCCUCCGAGGCGACGAUGCGUAGGGGUUCUGAGAGGAAGGUCCCCCACACUGGUACUGAGACACGGACCAGACUCCUACGGGAGGCAGCAGUGAGGAAUAUUGGUCAAUGGCCGAGAGGCUGAACCAGCCAAGUCGCGUGAGGGAUGACGGCCCUACGGGUUGUAAACCUCUUUUGUCGGGGAGCAAAGGGAGUCACGUGUGACUCAUUGAGAGUACCCGAAGAAAAAGCAUCGGCUAACUCCGUGCCAGCAGCCGCGGUAAUACGGAGGAUGCGAGCGUUAUCCGGAUUUAUUGGGUUUAAAGGGUGCGCAGGCGGAGGUGCAAGUCAGCGGUCAAAUUGCGGGGCUCAACCCCGUACUGCCGUUGAAACUGCAUCCCUUGAGUGCGCGAGAAGUAUGCGGAAUGCGUGGUGUAGCGGCGAAAUGCAUAGAUAUCACGCAGAACUCCGAUUGCGAAGGCAGCAUACCGGCGCGCAACUGACGCUCAUGCACGAAAGCGUGGGUAUCGAACAGGAUUAGAUACCCUGGUAGUCCACGCAGUAAACGAU